rnacentral:misc_RNA from 1 species
AAGACUAUAGACCUGCGGAGUACCUGCGGAAGGAUCAUUAUCGUAUUGUAACAAUUGGGGGGGCCACCGUGGCUGUCGCUGACCCUUUGAAAGGGGGGUCGUGCACGCCCCCAUAGUGUCAUCCUCAUACAAUCCAACUCACCUCUGUGCAUCACCGCGUGGGUUCCUUUCUGGGUCGAGUCAGACUGGCUCAGAAAAAAGGGGCUUGCGUUUUCCAUACAAAUACCCUUAUAAAUCCAG